rnacentral:rRNA from 1 species
UCUGGCCUGCUCAAUGAUGAGAUCUCAUUAAAUAGCCGCAGUAUCCUGACUGCGUGAAAGUAGCAUAAUAAUUUGCCUUUUAAUUGGUGGCUGGUAUCAAUGGUAUCAUGAGAGUGGGGCUGUCUCUUACGCAAUCUUUUGAAACUACCUAUUAGGUGAAAAGGCCUAAAUAAUUUUAUAAGACAAGAAGACCCUGUCAAGCUUUACAGCAGAUAAGAGUAAUUAAUAGUUCCUUUAUUUUAUUUUUGCUGUUUGAUUGGGGCAAUCGGGGAGUUAGAAAAAAUCUCCCUUUUUAGUUUAACCUGUCAAGGUAUGACCCACUGUUAGUGAUCGUAGGAAGAAGUUACUGCAGGGAUAACAGCGUAAUUUUUUUUGUGAGUUCUUAUUUAAAAAAAAGUUUGCGACCU